AUGGCUGUCGUCAGCUCGUGUCGUGAGAUGUUGGGUUAAGUCCCGCAACGAGCGCAACCCUUGUCAUUAGUUGCUACAUUUGGUUGGGCACUCUAAUGAGACUGCCGGUGACAAACCGGAGGAAGGUGGGGAUGACGUCAAGUCCUCAUGGCCCUUAUGGGUAGGGCUUCACACGUCAUACAAUGGUCGGGACAGAGGGUUGCCAAGCCGCGAGGCGGAGCCAAUCUCAGAAACCCGAUCGUAGUCCGGAUCGCAGUCUGCAACUCGACUGCGUGAAGUCGGAAUCGCUAGUAAUCGCGGAUCAGCAUGUCGCGGUGAAUACGUUCCCGGGUCUUGUACACACCGCCCGU
rnacentral:rRNA from 1 species